rnacentral:rRNA from 1 species
UACGGGGGGGGGCUAGCGUUGUUCGGAAUUACUGGGCGUAAAGGGCUCGUAGGUGGCCAACUAAGUCAUGCGUGAAAUCCCUCGGCUUAACCGGGGAACUGCGUCUGAUACUGGAUGGCUUGAAUCCGGGAGAGGGAUGCGGAAUUCCAGGUGUAGCGGUGAAAUGCGUAGAUAUCUGGAGGAACACCGGUGGCGAAGGCGGCAUCCUGGACCGGCAUUGACACUGAGGAGCGAAAGCCAGGGGAGCAAACGGG